rnacentral:rRNA from 1 species
GGUGGAUGCCUGGGCAGUCAGAGGCGAUGAAGGACGUACUAACUUGCGAUAAGCGCAGAUAAGGCAGUAAGAGCCGUUUGAGUCUGCGAUUUCCGAAUGGGGAAACCCAACUGCAUAAGCAGUUACUGUUAACUGAAUACAUAGGUUAACAGAGCAAACCGGGGGAACUGAAACAUCUAAGUACCCCGAGGAGAAGAAAUCAACCGAGAUUCCGGUAGUAGCGGCGAGCGAACCUGGAUUAGCCCUUAAGCACUCGGUGAAGUAGGUGAACAAGCUGGAAAGCUUGGCGAUACAGGGUGAUAGCCCCGUAACCGACGCUUCAUCGAGCGUGAAAUCGAGUAGGGCGGGACACGUGAUAUCCUGUCUGAAUAUGGGGGGACCAUCCUCCAAGGCUAAAUACUCCUGACUGACCGAUAGUGAACCAGUACCGUGAGGGAAAGGCGAAAAGAACCCCUGUGAGGGGAGUGAAAUAGAACCUGAAACCGUGUACGUACAAGCAGUAGGAGCACCUUCGUGGUGUGACUGCGUACCUUUUGUAUAAUGGGUCAGCGACUUAUAUUCAGUGGCAAGGUUAACCGUAUAGGGGAGCCGUAGCGAAAGCGAGUCUUAACUGGGCGCUCAGUCUCUGGAUAUAGACCCGAAACCGGGUGAUCUAGCCAUGGGCAGGUUGAAGGUUGAGUAACAUCAACUGGAGGACCGAACCGACUAAUGUUGAAAAAUUAGCGGAUGACUUGUGGCUAGGGGUGAAAGGCCAAUCAAACUCGGAGAUAGCUGGUUCUCCCCGAAAGCUAUUUAGGUAGCGCCUCGGACGAAUACUACUGGGGGUAGAGCACUGUUAAGGCUAGGGGGUCAUCCCGACUUACCAACCCUUUGCAAACUCCGAAUACCAGUAAGUACUAUCCGGGAGACACACGGCGGGUGCUAACGUCCGUCGUGGAGAGGGAAACAACCCAGACCGCCAGCUAAGGUCCCAAAGUAUUGCUAAGUGGGAAACGAUGUGGGAAGGCUCAGACAGCUAGGAUGUUGGCUUAGAAGCAGCCAUCAUUUAAAGAAAGCGUAAUAGCUCACUAGUCGAGUCGGCCUGCGCGGAAGAUGUAACGGGGCUAAGCAAUACACCGAAGCUGCGGCAAUAUCUUUUAGAUAUUGGGUAGGGGAGCGUUCUGUAAGCCGUUGAAGGUGAAUCGUAAGGUUUGCUGGAGGUAUCAGAAGUGCGAAUGCUGACAUGAGUAACGACAAAGGGGGUGAAAAACCUCCUCGCCGGAAGACCAAGGGUUCCUGUCCAACGUUAAUCGGGGCAGGGUGAGUCGACCCCUAAGGUGAGGCCGAAAGGCGUAAUCGAUGGGAAACGGGUUAAUAUUCCCGUACUUCUGACUAUUGCGAUGGGGGGACGGAGAAGGCUAGGUGGGCCAGGCGACGGUUGUCCUGGUUCAAGUGCGUAGGCUUGAGAGUUAGGUAAAUCCGGCUCUCUCUAAGGCUGAGACACGACGUCGAGCUGCUACGGCAGUGAAGUCAUUGAUGCCAUGCUUCCAGGAAAAGCCUCUAAGCUUCAGAUAGUCAGGAAUCGUACCCCAAACCGACACAGGUGGUCGGGUAGAGAAUACCAAGGCGCUUGAGAGAACUCGGGUGAAGGAACUAGGCAAAAUGGUACCGUAACUUCGGGAGAAGGUACGCUCUUGAUGGUGAAGUCCCUCGCGGAUGGAGCUGACGAGAGUCGCAGAUACCAGGUGGCUGCAACUGUUUAUUAAAAACACAGCACUGUGCAAAAUCGCAAGAUGACGUAUACGGUGUGACGCCUGCCCGGUGCCGGAAGGUUAAUUGAUGGGGUUAGCGCAAGCGAAGCUCUUGAUCGAAGCCCCGGUAAACGGCGGCCGUAACUAUAACGGUCCUAAGGUAGCGAAAUUCCUUGUCGGGUAAGUUCCGACCUGCACGAAUGGCGUAAUGAUGGCCA